UUUAGGAAGUGGCUUCUCUGAGAGCUCCAGGAUUUAAUUUUACUUUGAAACACACAGCAGGGCAGCCACAAUCAACCAGCCAGAAUGUUCCUGUUGUUUUUAUGUGCUGCUGCAAGAAACCACAAGGGGACAACCACAAAGAUGGGUGGAUAUCAAGCUGUGAGAAUCCCUAUGAAAGAAUAAAGAAAACUAUCAAGAACAGAGCCCUUGGAGGCUCAGCGCUGAAUGUGCUGUUGCAAACACAGAUGGUACAAUAAAUAUGAUUCUCAACUUUGUGGUGACAGCUAAAGACACCUUUGCAGUAUGCUCGUCGGAUUAUGAAAAGUAAAAUACCUGUACAGCAAAUUACCAAAUACAAAGGGAGGUAAUACUCAAUACUUUGCCUUCCUUUGCAAUAUCUACCAAGUGGAUUUACCUUGUCUUGUUCUAACUCAGUAUUGUGACAUUUAGGGGGGUAUGUACUAACCCAUUUUCAGGUAGGGGUUUUUGACGCCGACCGGUCCCACACCCUGAAAAAGUCGCACAAAAAAAGUUGUGGUUUUUCUUUCAAGAUUUAUUAUGUAUCUUUUCCGUAAAAUUUUUCUUUGCUUUAAACUUUUUUUAAAAAGUUUUUUGUAUUUUUAACAUGGGUUUUUGUUUGACAAUUUGAAAACGUUGCGCUUAUUAUGUGACAAGUUGAUAAAGUCACGCAAAUUUUAUGUAACUUUUCCGCAACUUUUCCCGCGUGUGCUUCUUCACUUCUGAUUGUUGGAUAAAUGUCUGACAUUUGUUGAAA